rnacentral:lncRNA from 1 species
CACAGUUGAUUGGUUUGUACAUCCUAGAUGAUGUCAAGAACUGUUUGAUGGCAGUGUUGACUUGGGUACCAAUGAUACCCCAACUCUUUUUGAAGAAAACAACAUUGUAACCAUCAAUCCCAGGGGCUUUGUCAUCUCCAAUAGCCUUAAUACUUUCUGCUAUUUCUGUAUCAGUCACUGUUGCACAUAGUUCCUGUCUCUGUUGCUGUGUCAGCUUUGGCCCAUUCGACAUAUACAUUUGGUUUAUAGCAGGCAGAGUACCUGCAGUUGUGCCCAUCAGUGCUUUGUAAAAACCUAUGAUUUCCGCUUUGAUUUCCUCAGCUGUAGUGAGUUUGGUGCCCACUGCAUUUACAAGCUCAGUGAUCUGAUUGUGUUGGUUUCUUUCUUUCAUUACCGCAGUGAAGUAUUUGGUAUUGGAGUCCCCAAGUUGUAUCCACUUAGCCCUUGCCUUCUGUUGCAGAAUACUCUCCUCAAUAAGUGACGAUUUUUCUAAGUUCAGGACCAGUUCCUUCUCCCUCUGUUGAAGUUGAUCAGUGUAUGACUGGUGCAUUUGUGCUUGCACUGUUUCCAGAUCCUUUCGACCCUGCUGAAUUUUCUCUGAGAUUGUCUUGAAUUCCUUACUAUCCAGGUUCUUCAAGGGGUGCUUUAGUGCUUUGAGUUUACCCCAAAUUGCUUUCAUUGUAUCUGCCUUGCCCUCUUGCCAAACUCUGGAUACAAUCCGUUGGAAAUUCUUAUGGUCAGCCCAGACAUUAAAGAAUUUGAAAUUCUUCUUUCCAUGCCAUGAGGUUGAAGACAGUGUUAGCACCAUGGGUUUAUGGUAUGAGAUUAGGGGAAAAUCAUAGUUAGUAACCACCUGGCUCCAUGUGAUCAUCCAGCAUGCCAUGAGGUUGAGGACAGUGUUAGCACCAUGGGAAUAUGGUCUGAGAUUAGGGGCAAAUCAUAGUUAGUAACCACCUGGCUCCAUGUGAUCAUCCAUUCAUAGUUACCAAAGGCUCUAUCUAACCUGCUACAUACUCUGUCCACACCUGUUUGUUUGUUUGUCCAUGUGUAGUAUUCUCCUCUCCAAGGUAAUUCAGUCAGUCCAGCUUGUUGCAAACAGCUGUUGAAGUCUAGAGUUUCA